AACUUUGAGUAAUCGCGGUAGUGUAUUCACUACUGAGGAAAGUCCAUGCUCGCACAGACUGAGAUGUCUGUAGUGUUCGUGCUUAGCGAAACAAUAAGCUAAGGCAACAACUUGUUGACGGCAGAAAAAAUGGCUAAGGAAUUUCUAUGCCAAAGUAUUCUUGAAAGUGCCACAGUGACGAAGCAUUUCUGGAAACGGAAAUGGUGGAACGCGGUAAACCCCUCGAGCGAGCAACCCAAACUUAUGGUAGGGGCAC
rnacentral:RNase_P_RNA from 1 species